UCUCAUUCCGAUAUCCAGAAAAGUAUUGAAAACAAUCUGCAGUAUCUCUUAAGAGAAAACAAAUGUCCGAAGUAGAUAAUGAAGAUGUCGACAUUGAUGAUCCAGUCUCAUCUCCAGCACCUUCUACAUCGUCAAUCAUUAAUUCAGAACUGUCAGAAACGCAAUCAGUAUCAAUUUCACCAAGUCCUACUUCCAAACAACCUAGAAUUGACUUAGCAUUUAAAAAACAAAAGUCAUAUCAAGAUGGAGGAUCCAAAGCUGC